ACUCCUGUGAGGAUGCCCUCAAGUCCCUGCCCGGGAAUGAGGAGCUGGUAUCAGGCGCGCCACGCAGCCUACGACACCUUGCUAUGCCACACCCCCAAGGGAAUUCAGCAGUGAUAAACAUUAAGCCAUGAGCGCAAGCUCGACUUACUUAAGGUAGAGUACAGGGCUGGUAAAACUCGUGCCAGCCACCGCGGUUAGACGAGGAGGCCCAAGUUGACAGAGAGCGGCGUAAAGGGUGGCCAAGGGUAUAAACAGCUAGAGUCGAACUCUUCCCUGCACCGUCAUACGAAACCUGGAAGAAAGAAGCCCAAUCACGAAAGUGACUCUAUUCAACCUGCAACCACGACAACUAAGGAACAAACCGGGAUUAGAUACCCCGUUAUGCUUAGUCGUAAACUUUGAUGCUGAAGCACGACCAGCAUUCGCCCGGGAAUUACGAGCACUAGCUUAAAACUCAAAGGACUUGGCGGUGCCUUAGACCCCCUAGAGGAGCCUGUUCUAUAAUCGAUAACCCCCGUUUAACCUCACCACCUCUAGCCCGUGUCAGUCUAUAUACCGCCGUCGUCAGCUUGCCCUAUGAAGGAGCUAAUAGCAAGCGAUGUGGACAACUCUCCAAAACGUCAGGUCGAGGUGUAGCAUAUGAGGUGGGAAGAAAUGGGCUACAUUUCCUAGAGUAGGAAAUACCGAUUAUGCUGUGAAAUACGGCAUAUGAGGGUGGAUUUAGCAGUAAGAAGAAACUAGAGAGUUUUUCUGAAGUUGGCUCUGAGGUGCGUACACACCGCCCGUCACCCUCCCCGAACGUUCAUAAUUUCCGUUUCCUAAAACAUCAGAAGAACAAAGGGGAGGCAAGUCGUAACAAGGUAAGUGUACUGGAAAGUGCACUUGGACUAAC
rnacentral:ncRNA from 1 species